ACCUGGGUGGCUGAGUUGGUGAAGCAUGUGAUUCUCAAUCUCUGGGUCGUGAGUUCGAGCCACACUAGGUA
rnacentral:tRNA from 1 species